UUAUUCUCUCAGUGCUUUGAACUCUGGUACCCUAUACAGCUCCAACCACCCCUCUCUGCAACAGCAAGAACUCACACCGAGGUGCCCCUCUCUCUCUCUCUCUCUCUCUUUUUCUCUCUCUAUCUCUCUCUCCCUCUCUCUAUCUAUCUAUUUCCCUCUCCCCUUCCCUGCUGUGUCGCACUUCUCUUUCUCUUCCUUUAAGCUGUACCUCUCAGCUCCUCUCAUUCUUCUUUCAUUUUCAGCCCCAUGUGGUUCUCUCUCUUCCUCUCUGUGCCUGUUUCUGAUGUAUGGCUGGACUUGCGUGUGUACUGCUCCUGGAGAAGAUGUGUUUAUGGUCUGUUCACUGGUUCACUGAUUGAUAUUCUGCCCAGCUGGACUGGAAACUGGUUUGCACACCUUCUUUAUCUGUCUGGGUCCUCACCUAGCCCUGAAACAUGACACUACCUGCACAAGAAUGGAUUUUUUGGACUUCCCUGAACCACCCUACCCUGUCCAGAUCAUCUACCCCCAAGUGGGCACUGCAGAGGGGCAGCAGUGUCAAGGGAUGGAGCCAUCUCUCCUUUGGCUAUUAUCUCUAAGUGCAUCUGAAUGCACAUCCAUGGGAUGCAGGAACAGCAACAUUGAAGCUCCUGGCAUGCUUCAUGGCUUGGACAGCAAAGUUGUUGUGGACGAGCACAGAUGAUGAAGAAUAUUAGGAGUUUUGUGAAGAUAUUCCCCAUAAAAAUGAUCCCAAAUCCCUAAUUUGACCUGCCAAGGAUCACCCUUGGACAUUUCCCAAACCAUUUCUGGACUUUAUUUUCAUUUUGACAAGGAAGAUAUUGGUAAAGAUGCACAUUCAGAAAGUCUUUGUGAUCAUUACCUUCAGCAAGCUCAUAGUGGAGCAGAUGGUGGCCCUCAUUGGGCAUCUAGAUUUUAUUUUUAAUCAUGCUUUUAUUUUGACGUGUGGUUUUGACAGAAGCUUCACUUCUUCAAAUGAAUAAACUGUUCACUACAUGGCCCAGUGUGAUCAUUAACAGUGCAAAUGCGGUGAUUUAAUUAUAUAAAUAUAUAGUCUACAUGUGCUACGUGCUUCACAGUGGAUUAGUGCUCUACUUUGUCAUCUCAUACAAUGCAAAUGAUUCUCAAUGUCUGUGGAGUUUCCAGUGUAUGAGCGGUCUGCUUCACACAUUCAUUUAAAGCACAACAAAAUGUUGCCCAAAAGUAAGUUUGUUACAUCUUAAAGGUGCACUCAGUAAUUAUUUCCCCAUUAAAAAAGUUUAAUUCGUAAAGACAUGAAUUGUAAUUUUGCAAUAUAUUUGGAAAUCAUGACCACUCACAUUAAAAUGAAGACUCCAGUCAUAUCAGUAACCUUAUAAAAGCUGUUUUAUUCUACAUGGAGAGGGUCUGCACAUGGGGGCUGCCAUGUUUGAAUCACAUGACCAGCUGAAUACUACUCUCUUAAUCUCAGUAACCAUCCUGUUAUUUGACACUUUCACUCAUUGAUUAAAGAAAUCAUGUCUGACUGUGAAUACUACAUUUCUACAAUGACAUCUGAAACAGAAAACUACUGAUUUUAAAUUAUGCUGCAUUCAAGCCGCUAGGUGUCAGUGUAAGUCCAAGAUGACACAAAGACAAAAGUUACUGAGUGCACCUUCAAUUUAUAAAAAAAUAGAUAAACUGUUCAAAUUAAUACAUUAAAAAUUAUUAGAUCAUGUCCAUAGUUAAUGUGAUGUACUACACCUAUGGUCAGUCUGCUUGGACACCAGUGUGAACUUGAGGGGAACUUCCUUAAUACAUACAGUUGUAGUCAGAAGUUUCGAUACACUUAGGUUGAAGUCAUUAAAACUCAUUUUUUAUCCACUCCACAGAUUUAACAUUAGCAAACUGUAGUUUUGGCAAGUCGUUUAGGGCAUCUACUUUGUGCAUGACACGAGUAAUUUUUCCAACAAUUGUUUACAGACAGAUUGUUUCACUUUUAAUUGACUAUAUCACAAUUCCAGUGGGUCAGAAGUUUAUAUACACUAAGUUAACUGUGCCUUUAAGCAGCUUGGAAAAUUCCAGAAAAUGAUGUCAAGCCUUUAGACAAUAAGCCAAUUAGCUUCUGAUAGGAGGUGCACUGAAUUGGAGGUGUACCUGUGAAUGUAUUUUAAGGCCAACCUUCAAACUCAGUGCCUCUUUGCUUGUCAUGGGAAUAACAAAAGAAAUCAGCCAAGAACUCAGAAAAAAAAAAAAACUGUGGUUUCCACAAGUCUGUUCUUGGGAGCAAUUUACAAAUGCCUGAAGGUACCACGUUAAUCUGUACAAACAAUAGUACGCAAGUAUAAACACCAUAUGACCCAUAGCCAUCAUACCGCUCAGGAAGGAGACGCAUUCUGUCUCCUAGAGAUGAACGAAGUUUGGUGCGAAAAGUGCAAAUCAAUCCCAGAACAACAGCAAAGGACCUUGUGAAGAUGCUGGAGGAAACAGGUAGACAAGUAUCUAUAUCCACAGUAAAAUGAGUCCUAUAUCGACAUAACCUGAAAGGCUGCUCAGCAAGGAAGAAGCCACUGCUCCAAAACUGCCAUAAAAAAGCCAGACUACAGUUAGUGAAUGCACAUGGGGACAAAGAUCUUACAUUUUAGAGAAUUGUCCUCUGGUCUAAUGAAUCAAAAAUUGAACUGUUUGGCCAUAAUGACCAUCGUAAUGUUUGGAGGAAAAAGGGUGAGGCCAAAGAACACCAUCCCAAGCGUGAAGCAUGGGGGUGGCAGCAUCAUGUUGUGGGGGUGCUUUGCUGCAGCAGGGACUGGUGCACUUCACAAAAUAGACUUCAUGAGGAAGGAAAAUUAUGUGGAUAUAUUGAAGCAAAAUCUCAAGACAUCAGCCAGGAAGUUGGUCGCAAAUGGGUCUUCCAAAUGGACAAUGACCCCAAGCAUACCUCCAAAGUUCUGGCAAAAGGGCUUAAGGACAACAAAGUCAAGGCAUUGGAGUGGCCAUCACAAAGCCAUGACCUCAGUCUGAUAGAAAGUUUGUGGGCAGAACUGAAAAAGCGUGUGCGAGCAAGGAUGCCUACAAACCUGACUCAGUUACUCCAGUUCUGUCUGGAGAAAUGGGCCAAAUUUCCAGCAACAUAUUGUGAGAAGCUUGUGGAAGGCUACCCAUUUGUAUGCUACCAAAUACUAACAAAGUGUAUGUAAACUUCUGACCCACUGGGAAUUUAAUGAAAGAAAUAAAAGCUGAAAUAAAUCAUUCUCUCUACUAUUAUUCUGCCAUUUCACAUUCUUAAAUAAAGUAGUGAUCCUAACUGACAUAAGGCAGGGAAUGUUUUCUACAGUUAAAUGUCAGGAAUUGUGAUAAACUGAGUUUAAAUGUAUUUGGCUUAGGUGUAUGUAAACUUCUGACUUCAACUAUACUUGAAAAAUACUGUGGGACCAGUUGAUUAAAAGUAAUUACAAAAAUGUUUGGAAAAGUGAUGUCAGUUCUGAAAAAACCUCUAGCAUCAUUUGUUUACAGAUGCCACUUGGUUUGAUGUUUUGUUAUCAAUUAAAUUAAUAUUUUUUUAAGUGUGGUGGAAGUGUCCAAAUACAUUAUUGGGACACCGUACUUACACACCAACAGUACCUUCAUACUUUAAUGGAAUACUACUAUGUUGUGCCAUGUCUUUGUGAAAGAGACUCUCCCCAGAAUGACAUGAAGUAGAGCUGUAGUGCAGUAAUAAACCGGGCUGUUGUUCUUUAAUGGACUAAUACCAUCUGCUGUGUUGUGUUGAAAAAACGCAUGUUGUAUUGUCUUAAGCACCAGACUCUUUUAAACACCUGUGCUGUGGCAGUGGGAAGUAUUGUGUUCAAUCCGGGUAAUAGGAUGCUAUAGGUGGGCUGUUUUGGCUUGUGAACACCUGUCUUCAUGGACAGUCCCGUUUGACAAUGCGAAGUGUCAAUCACCCCAGCCAUAACUGCAACACCACACUGAGAUUGCAUCAGCUCCAUCAUCAACAACACGUUGCCCUUUUACUUUCUAAAAAAGCUGAUGCUAUAGGGAAUUUCUUACAAAUCUGUUUCCAAUGAAAAAAAAAAUAAAAAAAUAAACUUUAUUUUCCUUAUUUUUUGUCCACAUGAUGUUUUUGACCCAAAAUUAAGUCGAGGGAAUAUCAGCAGAUUUGGGUUAUUUAUGGACUUGUUUUUCUCAAGACGCAGUGAGAAAUGAUGAUUGUGAUUGUAGAGUUGCGUUCACUGUGUCAUUACUGUUUAUCUCUCAGUGUCUUUUUGUGGUUUUACCAAGUACAGGCGAAGAUAUGAUGCAACUUAAAUCCAUCUGAGUGUGUGUGUGGAAUGGUACAUUUUGUGCUCGGUGUGAGUGUAUGUUUGGAUUUGUAAGAGAAAGUUUGCUUGUUCUAGUCUUUUCUAGGUAUGUGUACGUAUUUAGCUGUAGUUUGUGGACAAAGUAGUCCCCAAAAGUUAGCUAAAUCUGACUAAACCUCUCUUUGGGGACAUUUGGCGUUGUCCUCUAUUGGAAAAUUGAUUCAUAAAUAAAGCAAAUGCUUUUUUAAAUUUUUUAUGUAUUUUUUUUAUUUUAUUUUAUUUUUAAAGCACAAAAAAUAUUUUAGAGGUAAGGUUUGGGUUAGACAUUAUAAUGAGCUUAAUUUAAAAUAAUAAACAUUGUAUAUCUGUCCCCAUUUAUAUAACAAAGUGGUAAUGCUUUGCCAUAAGGUUCCAUGGCAAAUGCAGUUAAUGCAAAGUUGAUAAAAAUACUAUUGUUUUUUUGUAAGUUGAUGUUAAUUCUUGGUGCAUUAACUAAUGUAAACAUUUACAACUUUUGCUUUUAAAAAUGUAUUAUAUGUUGAAAUUAACAUUAACUAUGAUUAAUAAAUGCUUAAUAAAUAUUGUUCACUGUUAGUUCAUGUUAACUAAUAUUAGUAACUAAUGUUAACAUAUGGAACCCUAUUUUAAAGUGUUACCAGCAAAGUAAACGUGUGUAUGAGUACCAGUGGGUAUAUGAAAGUGAAUCGAUAUAAAGAUCAAAAUAGUGAAACUGAAGCCCUGAGAGCAAAGUGUAUUUCUUGUGAUGAAUAUCCAUAUUUCUCAGAAACACUCUCUUUUUUAAUUUGAUAAAUUUCCUUUUUUACAAUGCACCAAACGCCUUUCACACCCUGCUAAAGUCGCCCUUUCAGAUUAAGUACGUGCUUGUAACUUGAAGGCUUUACCUCAAUCCCUUAAAGGCAUCAAAAGAUUCAUUUUAGUUACUGCCGUUUUAAGUAAUUUUAGUCACUGAAACAAGUAAAAUUAUUUUUCUUUGUCCUCCUUGCUCCAGAUGUCAGAUUUUUGGCAGAACAUCCCAAGCUUUACAUUUACAUUUUCUAGUUUUAACACUCAGCUCAUAAAUAUUCCAAAGAGAACGCUCAGAUUUAUGCUAUUUAUUGAUCCAAAUAUCAUGCAAUAAAAGAGAAAUAAAAUGCUGUUAUUUCUGGAAUAUUCAUGUCAUUGUUGUCUCUGAAGCAAUGCAUUUGCUUUUAUUCUUAGCUGUUAUCCAGUAAAAAGUCAUGCAGUUUCUCCUAUUGCUGUCUUGGAUUGUGUGUCACAGAAUAUCUUGUGCUUUAUUACACAAAUGUUAAUGUUUACCUAUUUUACUACCUUUCACUUAUGAACUCUUGCUCCUGUAUGUUUAUGGCUUUGCCUUGCUCUUGUUAUGACCCCCUGAUUUUAUACAGUAGGUGUGUGGUCCUAUUACUCUAAUGUGAAAAGAUCCAUCAAUAAUCAAUGAACUUUGAUCAGGUGCUCACCGACUCUGCAGACCUUAAUUAUGUUAGUGCAGUCAGUGGUUGUGUGGUGUUAUUUCAUUAUUCAGUCACGUGAUUUGGAGAGUCUUAGUAUGAUAUAUGAUUAAUGGAAAUGCACUUUAUCACAAAAAAAUAAUAAUAAUAAUAAAAAAAAAAAAAAGGAUUUUUGCUGCUUGUUCAAUUUAGUUGAGCUAAAGCAACACAAUUCUAGGAUAUUUUGUCACAACUUGAUUCCAUUGCGUUCUGUUCAUUUCAAUUUGUAAAAUGGACAUUUUCUUAAUCCAUUUGGGCUGGGACUACAUGAUUACUUUUUGUGGUGUUAAUGUAGCAUUGAUGAAACUGGGCAGGGGAUUUCCAUUUCCCAGCACACUUUGCAUGGGACUUGAUUAGGAGAGCAAAUGUUAAAAUGAAGUGUUAUUUUAUGUUUUUGUGCAAGAUGAAUAUGAAUUGGGAUAGUUGUUAGUGUUGAAUGUUGGUUCUGUUAAGAUUUAGAAGAGUUUCUGUUAUGUUGGACAUUUAGUGGUUACCAUUAUGGUAAAGAGUGGAGCUUGAGCUAACAAUGAGGACAGGCAGAUGUUGUAAAUUAAACUGAUUGCUCACUUUGUUGAGCAAAUGCUAUGCCAACUAUAGCAUAGUUAUUAAACAACACUCUGUAGUGCUUCUAACCAGCAUGUAUUUAACAUGUAAAAAUUUACUAGUUAAUACAUAAAGAUUUAAGAGGUUUAUUUGAGUUACAUUGAAAUGUCUAAUUUCGUUGGGUUUAUCUGUAUUCAACUAGGCCUUUUUCUACACAAACUGUUUGUGUUACAUAUUAAAUUUAAGUAAAGGAAACUAAUUUCAAACAUGUGGAACCACUGUCCAUGAUUGAAUCAAGUUUAGCUACAGAGCAAUUUUUUUAGUGAACCUGAGACCAUCAAUUCAGCAAAAACAGAAACAUGGUUCGAUUCAUUUAAUGCAUGAUUGAAAAUGUUGUAUUGUUACUGUGUAUCUUGAAUUAUCUGGAAUUAAACAGUGCAGAAACUGUAUAUUCUGCACAUUAAGGGGAAUAAAGCAGCUUGUACACUGAAAAAUAAUUGCUGAUUUAACUUAAAUUGUGGACAGUGGUUCAACACGAUGAAAAUUAGUUUCUUUGAUAUAAAAUUAAAAUGUAGGCUCUACUCAAAUACUUUGUGUAGAGAAAACCUAAAUGAAUUGAGGUAACCUUACUUAUAUUUGUUCAGUUUAAAUAACUCUAUCGAACCUUGCAGCUUUUUGCAUACUAUGUAUAUCUUUUUGUACUGGAAAAUUAACAGUUCCCCAAUCAGUCAUUAUAGGGAUGACCCCUCAGUUUUUGCUUCAUGUGAAAAGCAUUACACACUAAUUUUUCAAAGGCAACAUACCCAACCUUGACCUAACCAUUAGAUCCACUCUUCUCCACAAUGGUAACCUCCAAAAAUGUUUGCAUAACACAACAUUUAACACUAACAUGUCUUCUACUUGUUUCAUUUUGCAUAGAAAUACGUUCAAAUAACACUUAAUUUUCAGUCCCAUUCAAAGCAUGCUGGGAACUGUAAAUCCCUUGCUCGGUUUCAGCGAUACAUUAAUGCUACAAAUAUUAUUCCCAUAGUCCCAACACAGUUGGAUUAAGUAAACAUAGAUCGAUUGUACACAAUGAAAUUAAGUUGAGACCAAAUGCUAAAGAAUUGUUUUGCAUUUGCUCAUUUUAGAUAAGUUAAUUGAGCAAGCAGGAAAAAUCAUGUCGAGUGAACACCAUCCGUUAGAAGUCUGAAUACAUUUGAACAUUUCAUAGCAAUGUGAUCAUAUCACUUUUUGAUGACUGUGUUGAAUAUCACUUGGACUUUACGCAAUAUAAUUAUGUUCUUAUCUCAAACAUAAAUGAAUUAAGUUGGUUUCAAGUGUACUGGUUUAGUAUUUUCAAUAGACCUGAUUUUCCUUUUUUCAGUGUACACAUGUAAAUAUUUGUAUUGAGUGUUACUUUUGUGUGUAGUACAUACCAAGCUAAGUUUUCUAAUAAAUUGAGACCCUUGCAUCUGGCUUCAAAAUGAUAUGCUGUUAUUGCAUCAGGCAUGGUGUGUAAGGAUUAUGAGUUUAGUCACGCAUAACUAUGUUGGCACUAGAAACCUUAUGAUUCUCUAUGAAUCUCUACGAUAACUGAUUUAUUUAAAUUAUUUUACUGUCUUACUUUCUUACUAUAGUGUUAAGGCAUCUUUUUAUUGCUAUUGUGGGAACAUUUUACCCAUAUUUUCCCCUUAAAUGUGUGUCUGUCCUGUUAACAAUAUGGAAAUCCCUGUUUUAAAUGCUUAUUGUAUCCCUGUUUUAUCAUUAAUGAUGAAACUUGAUAUGUGGAUCAUUAAGCAGCCACAAUGGCCAUAGCAUCACAUAGUUUGAAACAUUGUGCUGUUAUUGAAAAGGAAUGGAAUAUUUAGACCUGUUGGGAUGUGAUUGUUAUGUGUUAAAUCUAAGAUGUUAUGUACUGGAUAUUGACCCUGUAUAGUGUGAAAAACAUUUUCACUUGAAAGCACAUGAAAAACAAUGUGUGAACAAUAGAUUAUGUAAGCUUUUUUAAUUAAAGAACAGCAAAAUAAUAUAAUAAAUAUUAUAUAAAAGCACAAUGCUUUCCAAAAAUUGCUUUUUUUUUUCUUUCUUUUUUUUUUCUUUCUUUUUUUUAAGUGGAUCUUCAUGCCAGUCAGUGUAUGUGUAAUUCAAUAAAUGUA